UACGUAGGGUGCGAGCGUUGUUCGGAAUUACUGGGCGUAAAGCGCGCGUAGGCGGACCUGCAAGUCGGGGGUGAAAGCCCGAGGCUCAACCUCGGAACUGCCUUCGAUACUGCGGGUCUCGAGUCCGGGAGAGGUGAGUGGAAUUCCUAGUGUAGAGGUGAAAUUCGUAGAUAUUAGGAAGAACACCAGUGGCGAAGGCGGCUCACUGGCCCGGUACUGACGCUGAGGCGCGAAAGCGUGGGGAGCAAACAGG
rnacentral:rRNA from 1 species